rnacentral:rRNA from 1 species
GGGGAAUAUUGGACAAUGGGGGAAACCCUGAUCCAGCCAUGCCGCGUGUGCGAUGAAGGCUUUCGGGUUGUAAAGCACUUUCAGUCGGGAGGAAAGGGUGCAAGCUAAUACCUUGUGCAGUUGACGUUACCGACAGAAGAAGCACCGGCAAACUCCGUGCCAGCAGCCGCGGUAAUACGGAGGGUGCGAGCGUUAAUCGGAAUUACUGGGCGUAAAGCGCGCGUAGGCGGUUACUUAAGCGAGAUGUGAAAUCCCCGGGCUUAACCUGGGCACUGCAUUUCGAACUGGGUGACUAGAGUUUUGGAGAGGAGAGUGGAAUUCCCGGUGUAGCGGUGAAAUGCGUAGAGAUCGGGAGGAACAUCAGUGGCGAAGGCGGCUCUCUGGCCAAAAACUGACGCUGAGGCGCGAAAGCGUGGGGAUCAAAC